rnacentral:SRP_RNA from 1 species
CCCGGGCUGGUGCGGGCGAAUGGCUCGCGAACCCGGUCAGGUCCGAGAGGAAGCAGCCGCAGCGAAACCCGUUUGGGUCGUCGCCAGCCCGUUCAG